rnacentral:rRNA from 1 species
CUCGUAGGCGGUCCGUUGCGUCUGCCGUGAAAACCCGGAGCUCAACUCCGGGCCUGCGGUGGAUACGGGCGGACUAGAGUCCGGUAGGGGAGACUGGAAUUCCUGGUGUAGCGGUGGAAUGCGCAGAUAUCAGGAGGAACACCGGUGGCGAAGGCGGGUCUCUGGGCCGGAACUGACGCUGAGGAGCGAAAGCGUGGGGAGCGAACA